rnacentral:rRNA from 1 species
CCUACGGGAGGCAGCAGUGAGGAAUAUUGGUCAAUGGCCGGAAGGCUGAACCAGCCAAGCCGCGUGAAGGACGAAGGUGCCAAGCAUUGUAAACUUCUUUUGUCAAGGGACAAAAUCAGGCUCGAGAGCCUGACCGAGGGUACUUGAAGAAAAAGCAUCGGCUAACUCCGUGCCAGCAGCCGCGGUAAUACGGAGGGUGCAAGCGUUGUCCGGAAUCAUUGGGCGUAAAGAGUUCGUAGGUGGCAUAUUAAGUCUGGUGUUAAAUGCAGAAGCUCAACUUCUGUUCGGCACUGGAUACUGGUAAGCUUGAAUGCGGUAGAGGUAAAGGGAAUUCCUGGUGUAGCGGUGAAAUGCGUAGAUAUCAGGAGGAACAUCGGUGGCGUAAGCGCUUUACUGGGCCGUAAUUGACACUGAGGAACGAAAGCCGGGGUAGCAAAUGGGAUUAGAUACCCCGGUAGUC